rnacentral:lncRNA from 1 species
CGCUACUCGGGGAGGAAGUGAAGGCUGGAAGAGCGACUCAGCAGCAGCGGGCCGAGGAGCAGGCAGACGCACGUGGCAGACCGGGGCCGCGUGAGAAGCCCUGGGACUCGUGCCGUGCCGUCGGCUUGCCAAACCCAGUCCUGGCAGGGGUGGGGUUCCCACCGAGAGAGAGGCCCUCGAAGGCGCGGGCCCACCUAAUUAAUUUCAAGUGUUUGGGGAAAUCAGAGAAAAAUUGCUGAAGACAAAUCCCAGACCUCCCAUUGGACAACUGCUCCCCCUGCUCAUGGUCCCCUUAAGUCUAGUUCCCAUGCAAAUGCAGGCCUCCAGCCCCGCUCCUCGUGGGGAAGAGCAGGGGAGGGCGCUUGGUCCACCCUCCCUCCCUGCCCGAAGCGGCCCCUGGAGGAGGUCUCCCCGCUCCGGGCCUCAGACUGGAAGAGCACGGCGCCCCAGGCUGCCAUUGUCCCCGUCCCCGGGGGCAAACAAGCUUAGAGACGACCGAUCAGCUUCCUUGCAGAUGGAAUUAACCAACGUGGCUGGUGAAUUGCAAAGAUCGCCAGCGCUGGUGUGGGUUUUCACCAGGGACGUCUUCCGUAGGAGAAGGCGGCUCCAGAUUUCUCCCACCGUGGAGACUGGUGUAGGAAGGAGAAAGCACCGUCCGGAUGGAGCUGAAGGAAGCUGCAGUAAGGUCCUUUGUUAAAAUUGGAAAGCAGUCCUGGGAAGGACGGGGGAAGGACUCUGCCGUGGAAGAAACCGGCAGAGGAUCAAACACGAUGGGCGGAGAAAUGGAGCCCUCCAGUGAAGAGGUCCCCACGUCCCCAGGUACAGCACC